GCCCUCGGAUGGCCUCGAUACGCUUCUUUUUGAACUGAUCCAUGUCCAGCGUGCUGCAUGUGGACAAACUGAGUGCCACGGUGGCUAAAUCCAGAGUGAGGAGAAGACUGACGAUGCACAGAACCACAAGGUCGCUCUCUUCAGUUCCCUGGCCGUAGCCUAUAUCUUCAUCCAACCUGAACAGGUAUCGGAUGUGGAAAUGCAAAGACUGCAGCCUGUCAUUUUCAGAACGAUCUGAGCUACUAAAACAUUACCGCAUUGACCAUCAGUUUCACGGUAGGCACCGUCCUUACCCAUGCAUCCAUGCAAAUUGCCCCUGUUCGUCCAAGACAUGGAAUGGUCUACAAAAACAUCUUACUAGGAAUCACCCUUCUCAGGAGUCCACACAAAAGGUCUCUUCAUUCAAGUGCUACAUUUGUGACAAUAAUCAGCUUUCCACGGAGUAUGAUUUUUUUCUUCAUAUCAAUCAACAUUUGAAAAAAAAUUAACAAGUCUCUUGUAUGUUUGAUGGUUGUUCAUACAAAACAAACAUAUACAGCAGUUUCCGGACCCAUAAAUGGAGAAAACAUCAGUCAUGCACCGUUAAUGACUUUAAAAGUGGAAUAAUUGUCACAUCAUCACUCAGUUCCAAUCCUUCUGACUCAGUGAACUCUGACCUGAAUGAAGAAGUACAGUUGGAUGAGCCAACGACUGAUAUCAAACCUCUGUGAGUGUGUGGGAAACAGAACUCCUUUUCCUGUUCUUUGAGAGAAAACACUCCAGAGAAAAAUGGCAGGAAACCUCCAGGGCCUUCUGAUUCUGGUUAGUCACCCUAUCUUCUUCCCUGUCCACCUCUGUUUUCCAUCCUCUCAUCUUCUC